UAAUUUUUAAAUCCAAUCCGAUUUAGUAUAUAUGUUGGUUGUACCAACACUCGAUCUCCGGCUUUUCGAAUGGCAGUACGCCGUGCUAACCACUCGGUUGUCCGAAUGAUUAUACAUAUCCAUAUCUGUUGGUUAAAAAAAGUAAUGUUAUUGGAAGAAGUUGUAACCAGAAGCAUUGUCAUAAGUGUUGAUCUGAACAUUAUUGCAUUGUAUUCAACGCUGAUGCCUAGAACGCAAAACAAUGUCGAAGUAUCGCCUCUAAAUAGCAAUUUUUGGUAGAAGCGAUUAGUAAUUUUAUUGUAGUUUUAAAUUUACAGAUGGAACUAAAUUUUUCAAAUUUCAUAUUUCGUAAAGCAUCUCAUAAUUAUAAACAGUCAGAAUCCUUGAACUCUAAAUAAUAGAAAAUUACUUCUAACAACUGGAUAUAAUAGCAAUAUGAUGGUCAUAACAAAUUUUCCCUUUAGUUAAAGACGCGACACUGGUUAAUAAUGAAAUGCUGAUAACUGCAUUUAUUGUAAGUUUGUGUUUAACAAAAUGCAUGUUAUAUUUAAUUACUAUUGCAAUAUAUUGCCAUUACUAUAAUUUUCAAACAAAAAGAUGAAUAAAAUCUUAUUUAUCUUAUUUGUCGUUAAAACAAAACAUUGAAAUACCUCGAGUAAUGCCGGUUCCUUUCAUUAAGUUUUCCAUUUUUUCUAAGAUUUAUUUCAAAAUUUGGGAACAUAAAUUCAUAAAAGCAACAUCUUUUGCUGAGGCUGCGCAUGUGAUUGGGACAAUUGUUUACAUUAUUUAUAUCUGUACAUUAUUUCAUAAUGGCGACAACUCAGCUUGAGGACAGGGCGCAUGCGGGAAGGCAAGGACAUUUUUAUUGGCGACUAGACAAUAUGAAUAUUUUCAUUAUUGACAGUUAGAAUUUGAAUUAUUGCUUGGAGAUACCACGUGAUUUUUGCAAAUUGAAGAUAAAGGGGCAGACAAAUUAUUUUGUAGUGGCUUCAUGUAUUACGACCAUUUUUGUUUUUUGAUUUAAGUGCUUUCUAUGGUACAUAUGCCUGUAAUUCACACAAAUGUUUUUCGUAUCACAACAUAUCAAAGAGUAAAUUGACUUUUGAAGAAAGUUGAAAUAUAUCAAUAAAACUUGAUUCUUUCAUUCUUAUUCAGAAAAUUUGUUAAUGCAUACACUGAUUGA